GUGGUUAAAAUGGAAGCAGCACAUAACCUCCUUCUGUUGCAGACACCCAUCUGUGGGCAGCUUUCUCUAGCCGGAAGGUGGAUGUGGUAGGUAAUAAUAAAGUGAAUAAGUGGUCAAAACUGAUCGGCUGCUAUGGCUAGUCUGACAGUUUUCCUCUGCAGAUGGGCCUAGAUUGUGCUGAGAACACAUGGUGAAGUGCCCCCAGAUUGGACCACCAUGGAAACACUGAGCUUUCCCUAAGAAGAACAAAGGAAGACAGAACAAUCCCUGAAAGAACUGAAGACUGUGUUUAGACUGCCUGUCGGAUUUACUUCGUGAUGUGAGGGAUUCGGAUAUCAAAGUUAUGUGUGUAGUGCAAAUCACUAAACAGACAGUAUGAGACUUGUAACAUGGCCUAUGACAAAAGAUAGCAAAUACGUUAACUAUAUAAUGCAUAUCCUGGAGAAUUUACAGUCCAGUGGCAACAAUUAAGGCAGUACAGUAAGCAAAGGGUUUCAUGUGGUUUUUGUGGUUAGAGCCAUUGAUGAAGCAGGUGUGUUUUUAGAAGUCCUUUGAGGGGAAAGGGUAGAGUUUUAGAAGACUGACAAGUACAUCCUCAGAGGCUGCUGUAUAUUCUUAGAUGUCAAUGUUAGGAAGUCAGUCGAGCGCAGUGAUGGAAAGGAGGGUGCAUGUGCACAAGAAACUGAGAUGCAAUGAACAGAAAA